AUAUUGAGUAUUGGCAAAGGUUUAUAUAUCUUAGCUUUACCAUAGCACUCGAGUGUUAUUUCUUAGAAGGGGCAGUUUCUAUUUGGGGACCAAAUCCCUCUUCUCUAAGAGCUCCAAAUUGUUGGUUUGGCUGUGUGUAUAACAGAGCUCUGCAGCAUAUCUGCCAAUGUUUCCUUCCCAUCUUCUGGCACAGAGGUGAGCAGGGAAAAGAG